GGGAGAGAGUUGGCAGGCAGGAGCUGGUAACCUGGGUGAUUUAUCUUUGGGUUUGUGUUAGUCAUCUCUGCAGCAAGCUGAGACCAAACAGUGCCUUUCAGGCUGGAAAUCAAUGCUGAGUGGGUGUUCCCACGCGGGCUGAGCCUCCAAGUAGGGAGAUGGAAGUGGACUGUGGGAUGCGCAGCAAGGCGUUGUUCUCGGCUGAGAACCCAUCCACUCAUUGAAUGGUGGGACCAAGAAGAAAAUGGUUGAGUCUUGCUCCUUCCUGUGAUGGCUAAUCUUCAUUGUCAAGCUGAUUGGUUUAGGAUCACCAUGGAAACAUGCCUCUGGGUGUGUCCAUGAGUGUGUUGGCAGAAAGGUUAAACUGAAGAGAGAAGACCUACCUUGAGUAUGAGAAGGCUCAUCCCUGUGGCUGAGGGCUCAGCCUUCCCCCCACAAAAGGAAAGAAAACAAAUCUCGCCAUGGAUGCUGCACUGUGUCACUGUGUUUCACACAGCUUUACCUGCAAAUGUUCAUCGCUAUGAACGAGUCAUUGGUAUUGUUUGAGGCCCCUGGCAUCUGUUACUCGAUUAUCAAUUCUGGGUUAUCAAUA